rnacentral:tRNA from 1 species
AGGGGAGUGGUCUAGUGGUAUGAUGCGACCUUCACAUGGUCGAGAUUGGGAGUCCGAUUCUCCCCUCCCCUA